rnacentral:rRNA from 1 species
CGCGGCCUAUCAGCUUGUUGGUGGGGUAAUGGCCUACCAAGGCUUUGACGGGUAGCCGGCCUGAGAGGGUGACCGGCCACACUGGGACUGAGACACGGCCCAGACUCCUACGGGAGGCAGCAGUGGGGAAUAUUGGACAAUGGGCGGAAGCCUGAUCCAGCAACGCCGCGUGAGGGAUGACGGCCUUCGGGUUGUAAACCUCUUUCAGCACAGACGAAGCUGUUCCUUUUUGGGGGUGGUGACGGUAUGUGCAGAAGAAGCACCGGCCAACUACGUGCCAGCAGCCGCGGUAAUACGUAGGGUGCGAGCGUUGUCCGGAAUUAUUGGGCGUAAAGGGCUCGUAGGCGGUUUGUCGCGUCGGGAGUGAAAACCAGGGGCUUAACCCCUGGCUUGCUUUCGAUACGGGCAGACUAGAGGUAUGCAGGGGAGAACGGAAUUCCUGGUGUAGUGGUGAAAUGCGCAGAUAUCAGGAGGAACACCGGUGGCGAAGGCGGUUCUCUGGGCAUGUCCUGACGCUGAGGAGCGAAAGUGUGGGGAGCGAACAGGAUUAGAUACCCUGGUAGUCCACACCGUAAACGUUGGGCGCUAGGUGUGGGAUCCAUUCCACGGGUUCCGUGCCGCAGCUAACGCAUUAAGCGCCCCGCCUGGGGAGUACGG